CCUUACUGUAUUAUGUUUCUGCCCCAGUGAAAAGAGUAUUUGGUUGUUACCACCAUGAAGCUUUGACACUUUGACCUUGUGGCUCAUAUAUUCUAUAAUAUAAUAUGAGCGAUCGGAAACAGUGGAAGUGUGGACAAACAUAUUUUUUAUAUAUGUUAAAAUCUUGAAGUCUCUAGGGAACGUUUGGUUUUGGAAGUUGAGUUUGGCAGAUCAGGAAAUGGUCACGUAAGUAACUGGAACUGCCAUGUACUUUACGUCAUUUUUUUUAGCAUUGAUACUUGACCUACUCUUAGAUGUGUACUUGUUAGAAGGGAAAGUUACAGCCCAUGUGACUAUAUCUGAUAGCAACAACCACAAUAUCUCUUGUCUCACCAAGACCUGCUACUCAAAACUAGUCCUGUUUAAUUUUUCAAAACGGUAACAGGCUUCUUAGUAACAAUAAUUCAACAAUUUACAAUGUAACAACAUUAUGAGUUAACGCUUAAGUUGUCUGUGAGAUUCUCUACCUAUAGGCUACUCUACCUGAACGUUACCAUGUAAAUGCUAACACCUUAUCUGAUGGAAUGUGUUAUUAAGAGUUCACGGAGGAAACGUCACAUAGCCGUGAACCAACUGAAAAAAACCACAGAAAAAAAUGUUCCACCUGAUUGGCCAAUGACAGGUUAAACUUCCUUUAAUGAAAAAGUCUGCAUGAUAUCUGUGUGUACGAACAGCUUCACUGUCUUUUAUCUGCCGGUCAUCGUCACACAUGGAUGGGUUGCAAAUUCUUACAGUCGUUCUCUUAGGAGUUGUUUCUUACAGUCAUGGUUGGAUUUCUGGACCAGUGUUGGAGGUGACAGACCAGGAGACAACAUCACUCUCUACUGUGACUGCAAAUUAUCAAGUGGAGUAUACAUAGUGUGGUACAGAAACUGCUCUCAUGAGAACCAGCCUUCUCUUGUCCUUGAAUCAAAACUUGAAUUAUAUGUGUUAACCGUUCUCCCUGGUUUUCAAUUUGUGAGAAACCAUUCCUCUGCCUCCUAUGACUUGUUGAUCAUGAACGUCACUGAUGCAGAUGAGGGUCUCUACUACUGUGGAACUAAACAGAUCAAGGUGGAGGACAAAGAAUUCAUCACUCCCAGAUAUGAUUACAGAUAUGGCAACGUCACAACAAGGAUCGGGAUCAUAGUCAAUUCCAGCCUUGACUCCAGUGGGUGCAUCUCAAGUCUUGUGCCUUCUGUGUCCUGGGUGAUGGUGUUCACUCCAGCCCUCAUGAUCCUCUCCUCCUUCCUCUCCUUUAUUCUGAUUCAUCACUUCUGUCAGAAAGCAGGUACCUAG
rnacentral:lncRNA from 1 species